rnacentral:misc_RNA from 1 species
AAGUCGUAACAAGGUAACCGUAGGUGAACCUGCGGUUGGAUCAUUAAUAAAACAAUUAUUGAAUUUCCCUCUCUGGGGGGGUCUUCUCUAAACACACUCUUGUGAACUGUUGAUUGUCUCUUGGUGCGGGAACGGGUCUUAAAAAAACCUUAGGAAAUAGUUCUUUACUAAUUCCGCCCACCAGCUUUUAUACUUAAAACUUGAACAAAAAUACUCUAAGUCUUGAAUUUUAAAUUUUUAUCAAAAAAUUGUAAAAACAACUUUUAACAACGGAUCUCUAGGCUCUCA